CUCGUACUACCUCCGUUAAAAAACAAAAUGUCUCAAAUUUGUUAAAAUUUAGAUGUAUUUAGACAUGACUUAGUGUAUAGAUGCAUUCAAAUUUGAUCAAAGUUGAGACAUCCUUUGUUCGACGGAGGGAGUAUAAC
rnacentral:pre_miRNA from 1 species